rnacentral:rRNA from 1 species
UACGUAGGGGGCAAGCGUUGUCCGGAGUUACUGGGCGUAAAGCGCCCGCAGGCGGUCGGUUCAGUUCGCGGUGACAGCGCUGGGCUUAACCCAGCGAGGACCGAGAAGACGUGCCGACUUGAGGGCCAGAGAGGGACAUGGAACUCCGGGUGGAGUGGUGAAAUGCGUAGAGAUCCGGAAGAACACCAAAGGCGAAGGCAGUGUCCUGGUUGGUACCUGACGCUCGGGGGCGAAAGCGAGGGGAGCGAACGGG